AGGCAAGGGGUACCAAAAGUUUCUCAGUGGUGGAAGGGUGGAGACGGAGCGCUAAAUUUUGACAGCCCGGUGUUGUGAUUCGAUUCGGGUUAAGGAAUAUCAACGAAAAGUAAUGAUGAGACAAGUGUGCAUUGGUAGUGGUUAAAAGUUUGACGUCAUUUAUAAUCUAAAGUGGACCAUCCAUUGACAACAGUCAAUUCUAGUUCAGGAAAAGCGUACGAAAACAAAGUUAUUUGGCCAGAAAAACCGUAAAAUGGCCAUAAAAGUAUUGAAAACCGAGUGUACCGAGGUCGAAAGCAUCGCUAACGAUGAAGGUCGUAGUAGAUUCCGGAACAUUCCGGAAGAAGACACCGCCACCACAGCAGCAGCCACCAUUCCCAUGAAAACCACAAGAAGCGAACGCAGUUUGAUUAGCAGCAGCAGCGGCCAGUUCAGUCACCAGUCAAAAGGAAACAGUUUUUUUUUUCUCCCACGACGGAAGCGCACCAGGCGCGGAACUGAUUCGGCCAGUUAAUUUCGAUGACUCAUGACCGGAAUUCAACUAGCAUCGAAAAUCACAUGCGGGACGGAAUCAGGAAACCUACACGCAGCACUCGAGGUUUAGCCUUUGAUUACAAAAAAUCCCGGGUCAUGAGCAUGUAAGAAACAGAAAUAGGAUCGGAAAAGGUGAUCAAAGCGAUGGGAGCAUACUAUUGCUCGGGGCAUGAGUUUUUCAACAGAUUCGCCGGCGAUCAGUUCAGGAUUAUUAGGAGAAACAUCUCUAUCUCCAGAUGACACAAUGAAUUGCUGUUUUUUUUUUUUAAUUUGUUGAUAAUUAUCAUUAUCAUUCAUCUCGUCGACAGAACAGAGUGGCAGGCAAUCUCAACUUUCAGCAUAAUCUAUACCGGAUUGUUUGAUGGUGAUGGGGAUCCAUUCCAGCUGGACCUGCAGAAUCAAGGCGGACAAUUACAACCCUUACAGCAAUUAAAUUUAUUAAAAUUAUAAUAAUACCAGUAAAAUUACGAAAAAAAGUAUUGAUACAUUAUGAAGAUUCAUCAUUAAAUUGACCAAUCGUUAUUUCGAUCUAAAUUAGAUAAAACACAAUUCAAAAAUGAAGAUAAAUCUAGUAUAUUUCCAAUUGAACUCAAAAACACAAUCACAUAUAUUAUUUUCUUCGUGAACUUGUUAAAAUUAAAACCGAGUUCAAUGGUUCGAUGAAUUUCAAUUAUCUUCCGCAAUCAAUGCGAAGUUUUUUAGUUCGUAAGUUAAACCGAAUCAUACAUAACACUACGUGUAACACAACAAUUUAAAAACAAAAAAUGAGAACUUGGUCUGGUAAACGAUAUUAAAAUGACAAUUUUCGAAAUUGUAUGGAUAACAUUUAUGGCGGUCUUGAUGUUUCCUGCAAAUUUAAAGAAGAUUGUUAUAAAUAUAUUUGUU